AGAGUUUGAUCCUGGCUCAGGAUGAACGCUGGCGGCGUGCCUAAUACAUGCAAGUCGAACGCGCAGCGAGAGGUGCUUGCACCUUUCAAGCGAGUGGCGAACGGGUGAGUAACACGUGGAUAACCUGCCUCAAGGCUGGGGAUAACAUUUGGAAACAGAUGCUAAUACCGAAUAAAACUUAGUAUCGCAUGAUAUCAAGUUAAAAGGCGCUACGGCGUCACCUAGAGAUGGAUCCGCGGUGCAUUAGUUAGUUGGUGGGGUAAAGGCUUACCAAGACGAUGAUGCAUAGCCGAGUUGAGAGACUGAUCGGCCACAUUGGGACUGAGACACGGCCCAAACUCCUACGGGAGGCUGCAGUAGGGAAUCUUCCACAAUGGGCGCAAGCCUGAUGGAGCAACGCCGCGUGUGUGAUGAAGGCUUUCGGGUCGUAAAGCACUGUUGUAUGGGAAGAAAUGCUAAAAUAGGGAAUGAUUUUAGUUUGACGGUACCAUACCAGAAAGGGACGGCUAAAUACGUGCCAGCAGCCGCGGUAAUACGUAUGUCCCGAGCGUUAUCCGGAUUU
rnacentral:rRNA from 1 species